rnacentral:lncRNA from 1 species
UUAGAGUAUAUAGAUAGGUCAGCACAUGGAAAUGUCCAAUUGCAUUCGUAGCUCGGUCAUGAGGAUCAUCUUUGGGAUCCAUACAGUUGUCCAGCAUGGAAUCAUAAGCACCAAUCCAGGGAUAUAUAGAUGUACACAACAGUAAGCACCAAAACUAGACAGUCCAGGAGCAAAGAAAUCAGAGGACCACCAUUUUCUAUUUUACUUUUUCUAACACAUUUUUUGGGGCAUGCUUGAUGAUUUUUAAACACGUAUAAUGUUUUAGACAUUAUUGUAAAAAUACCACAUCACCAAGCUGAUCAUAAUCAAAACCAAAGCAAACACCAUAUUUUAGACAUGGAUGCCUAUUGAUCACGAGUCCUCGACACUAAGCAAGAGAGCACUUGGGUAAAAUACUAGGAUCGACACCUCACCUCUGCUGAGAUGGAGUCGAGGUUCAAA